CAUUACUCAUGCCGCACACACCUACGCCAUAUCAAAAUUUCAUACCCUACUUUUAGAAUACGACUAUGUAACACUAGAUGAACAAUCAGUCCGCGUGGAACACCGGGAGACGCUGGUGGAUGGGCUAUGGGAGAGUAUAAAAUGCUCCAAAUUAAAACGUGACAACCGAUACGAAUUACAAAACGUGAAACUUUUUCCCAAAAUAAUCUCUGAAGGAUGUUGCCUAUGCGCGGCUGGUGAAAUUUUACAGAAAUGAAACCAGAUAUUUUUAAAGCACGAGAAUAGAACGAUCAACGUGAUUUCCUGUUGGUGUUUGAUAUUCAGCACCAUUGUGAAUGGACAGUUGCUCAGAUCGACAAUAAUACGUAGGUAAGUCGGAUUGAGCUAAUUAAUAAUUAUAUAUCUGAUGGAAGUUGACUGGAAGGUUUACGAAUUAUAAACCAAAGAAGAGAAAGCACGACGAAUUCGAUGCUUUUCAGCGAGAUUAUAAAUGGACCACACUCAACGAAUACUAAGCUAAUAUCGUGGGUCCGAUGGACACAAACAUGGAUUGUUCGAGCAAUGCUUAAGUCGGAGAAAACGGAUGGCAUUCGUCGUGGAUGAUCUUUUUCCAGCAGAACUUUGAAACAAAAAAUGUUCAACAAAAAAACAAUUAGGUACUUAGAGGAAAGAAACAUAUUUGAACAUAUGGUUGACUGAUAGAGAAUACCACAUGGCGUUAUGUCAACUAUUUGUAUUUUUUUCAAUUAAGUGCAAUAAAGUUUAAAAUAAAUAAAUAAUUCAACUACCUUCGAAAGUGAGGUUAGGCGGAUGAAGAUUCACCGUUAAUUUUGGUAAAAACAUGUUUUUGUCUUUUACAUCAUUAUAGUUUAGUCAUUUUGACUCGCAUGAGGAAUAAGAAGACAAAUAGAAAAUAAGAUAUCCUGCAUGUAAAUCAUUGGAGACGGACGUAGCGUUGCUUAAGCCGUCUGUCUAUUUUGGUCCGCGGAAUGCUUGCGAUUCUGGGAGUUUGCCUGGCAACUACACCAUCGUUCUAGCUCCAGAAUCCAGAAUGCUUACGAACAAUUCUUGGUAUCCAAAGCUUCAGAUGAAAUCGACGAAGAGAAUUCUUAAGAUCCAUCCUGUACCGCACUGAUACAUAUAAAGUAUCAACGAAAUAUAUUCGUAGACGACCAUAAAUAUAGUUAUGGAAAAUUUCUUGGCCAGGUCUUCGAAGGGGUUCGUUGACAGGCGAUGUAUGACGCAUGAGGAUAGCUGUCAGAUGCGUCAUGCUCCCAAACCAUACACCUUCACAUGUUGCUUACCAAUAUCAAUGCUAGCUGAUGCCAGGAAAACAUGGUCAAAUGUGUGUGCACUGUGUCAUUGCAUUGUUGUUUGUCAACAAAUGAAUAAUAACUAGCUUUAAAUAGAAAUUGAAUAAAUUCGAAAAACGACGCACAGGAUAAUUAAUUUCAGUGUGUGUAUUGAGUAUUGUUUUAUUCAUAUCACUAAGUACUGUAUAAGAUUUUGUACAGUAGUAUCGAAGAUUCAUCAUUAACAGCCCCUACAAUUCCACUGCAGGGUAUAGGCCUCACUCAAUUUAUGGCAUUUACCUCUUUUCCUGUUCUGUUCGAAAUUCCGACCAUUCUCAGGUCGUCGACACAUCUUGUCUUCUGAUGAUUAUCUACUAUCCACUUUUGAGACACCAUAUUUAUUUUAUAUUAGCUGUUUCUUGUAGAUCUCCUCGUGAUAAAAUAUAUGGGUGCGUUUGUUAUACAAAUCUUUACCCCCUAUUUAAGAGUACAGAAAAAUCUAAAACAUUUUGGACGGACCACUUCGUUUACAAAAAAUUAUAAAGCACAUUGAGGGCUGCCACGAAAUGUGCUAUAUACGUAACUUUUAUAAGUUAUUAUUGCAAGGAAAAAUUGAACGGAAGUUUGUUGCAUAUUUUGGGAUGUAUAAAGAAACAAUUAAUAAAGUAGAGUUUGGGCGGACCGUCCGCCCUUGUUUCGAUCUCCAUUGUUUAUAAAUAGAUUAGGCGAUUUCAAACUGCCUCCCACUUCUGAGAAAUAUUCGCUUCCCGCAGUCGACAUCUUUGUGAAAUUGUGCAACAUACACGUUGAAAACAUUUCAGCAUAGAAUCAAAACAAAUAAAGAUGUUACGAAUUGAUAUUUGUUUUUAUUUGUACAAAAUCUUAUCUUAUAAUGUGAAUAAAAAUAGUGCGAAAAGAAUAAGUAUAUGGAUAAAGUUUGUUACUAAAAUAUGCCAUAACCGCCGUACCAUAUUUAUAAACAUAUGACCAGAAAAUCCCAUAUGACCAGUGCUCAGGGCUAGUUUGUUAAAAAUAAAUAAAUCUUGUUCUUUAAGAGAUUUUUUUAAUUUCAU